UACGUAGGUCCCGAGCGUUGUCCGGAUUUAUUGGGCGUAAAGCGAGCGCAGGUGGUUUAUUAAGUCUGGUGUAAAAGGCAGUGGCUCAACCAUUGUAUGCAUUUGAAACUGGUAGACUUGAGUGCAGGAGAGGAGAGUGGAAUUCCAUGUGUAGCGGUGAAAUGCGUAGAUAUAUGGAGGAACACCGGUGGCGAAAGCGGCUCUCUGGCCUGUAACUGACACUGAGGCUCGAAAGCGUGGGGAGCAAACAGG
rnacentral:rRNA from 1 species